rnacentral:rRNA from 1 species
AUGGGAAACGGGUUAAUAUUCCCGUACUUGGUGUUACUGCGAAGGGGGGACGGAGAAGGCUAUGUUGGCCGGGCGACGGUUGUCCCGGUUUAAGCGUGUAGGCUGGUUUUCCAGGCAAAUCCGGAAAAUCAAGGCUGAGGCGUGAUGACGAGGCACUACGGUGCUGAAGCAACAAAUGCCCUGCUUCCAGGAAAAGCCUCUAAGCAUCAGGUAACAUCAAAUCGUACCCCAAACCGACACAGGUGGUCAGGUAGAGAAUACCAAGGCGCUUGAGAGAACUCGGGUGAAGGAACUAGGCAAAAUGGUGCCGUAACUUCGGGAGAAGGCACGCUGACACGUAGGUGAAGUGAUUUACUCAUGGAGCUGAAGUCAGUCGAAGAUACCAGCUGGCUGCAACUGUUUAUUAAAAACACAGCACUGUGCAAACACGAAAGUGGACGUAUACGGUGUGACGCCUGCCCGGUGCCGGAAGGUUAAUUGAUGGGGUCAGCGCAAGCGAAGCUCCUGAUCGAAGCCCCGGUAAACGGCGGCCGUAACUAUAACGGUCCUAAGGUAGCGAAAUUCCUUGUCGGGUAAGUUCCGACCUGCACGAAUGGCGUAAUGAUGGCCAGGCUGUCUCCACCCGAGACUCAGUGAAAUUGAACUCGCUGUGAAGAUGCAGUGUACCCGCGGCAAGACGGAAAGACCCCGUGAACCUUUACUAUAGCUUGACACUGAACAUUGAGCCUUGAUGUGUAGGAUAGGUGGGAGGCUUUGAAGUGUGGACGCCAGUCUGCAUGGAGCCGACCUUGAAAUACCACCCUUUAAUGUUUGAUGUUCUAACGUGGACCCGUUACCCGGGUUGCGGACAGUGUCUGGUGGGUAGUUUGACUGGGGCGGUCUCCUCCUAAAGAGUAACGGAGGAGCACGAAGGUUGGCUAAUCCUGGUCGGACAUCAGGAGGUUAGUGCAAUGGCAUAAGCCAGCUUGACUGCGAGCGUGACGGCGCGAGCAGGUGCGAAAGCAGGUCAUAGUGAUCCGGUGGUUCUGAAUGGAAGGGCCAUCGCUCAACGGAUAAAAGGUACUCCGGGGAUAACAGGCUGAUACCGCCCAAGAGUUCAUAUCGACGGCGGUGUUUGGCACCUCGAUGUCGGCUCAUCACAUCCUGGGGCUGAAGUAGGUCCCAAGGGUAUGGCUGUUCGCCAUUUAAAGUGGUACGCGAGCUGGGUUUAGAACGUCGUGAGACAGUUCGGUCCCUAUCUGCCGUGGGCGCUGGAGAACUGAGGGGGGCUGCUCCUAGUACGAGAGGACCGGAGUGGACGCAUCACUGGUGUUCGGGUUGUCAUGCCAAUGGCACUGCCCGGUAGCUAAAUGCGGAAGAGAUAAGUGCUGAAAGCAUCUAAGCACGAAACUUGCCCCGA